rnacentral:rRNA from 1 species
ACGCUCGACACCUACGGGGGCAGCAGUGGGGGAUAUUGCACAAUGGAGGAAACUCUGAUGCAGCGACGCCGCGUGAGGGAAGACGGUUUUCGGAUUGUAAACCUCUGUCUUCAGGGACGAAAUGAAUGACGGUACCUGAGGAGGAAGCUCCGGCUAACUACGUGCCAGCAGCCGCGGUAAUCUGAGGCGGGCUGGCAAGGC